rnacentral:rRNA from 1 species
UGCUUAACACAUGCAAGUCGAACGAACCCNUUCGGGGUUAGUGGCGCACGGGUGCGUAACGCGUGGGAAUCUGCCCUUCGGUUCGGAAUAACAGUUAGAAAUGACUGCGUAAUACCGGAUAAUGUCGCAAGACCAAAGAUUUAUCGCCGAGGGAUGAGCCCGCGUAGGAUUAGCUWGUUGGUGAGGUAAGGCUCACCAAGGCGACGAUCCUUAGCUGGUCUGAGAGGAUGAUCAGCCACACUGGGACUGUGACACGGCCCAGACUCCUACGGGAGGCAGCAGUGGGGAAUUAUUGGACAAUUGGGCGGAAAGCCUGAUCCAGCAAUGCCCGCGUGACGUGAUGAACGGCCCUCGGGUCGUAAAGCUCUUUUACCAGGGAUGAUAAUGACAGUACCUGGAGAAUAAGCUCCGGCUAACUNCCGUGCCAGCAGCCGCGGUAAUMMAGGGNNANUUGUUUAACCUCAGGCNNGNCCCUNGU